UACGUAGGUGGCGAGCGUUGUCCGGAAUUACUGGGUGUAAAGCGCGUGUAGGCGGCAGGCCAAGUCGGUGGUGAAAGCGCCCGGCUCAACUGGGCGAGGUCCAUGGAAACUGGUCAGCUGGAGGACGGUAGAGGCGAGUGGAAUUCCCGGUGUAGUGGUGAAAUGCGUAGAGAUCGGGAGGAACAUCAGUGGCGAAGGCGGUCUGCUGGGCCGUUGCUGACGCUGAGGCGCGACAGCGUGGGGAGCAAACAGG
rnacentral:rRNA from 1 species